GGUCAAGCGAAUAAGCGCACACGGUGGAUGCCUAGGCGGUCAGAGGCGAUGAAGGACGUGGUAGCCUGCGAAAAGUGUCGGGGAGCUGGCAACAAGCUUUGAUCCGGCAAUGUCCGAAUGGGGAAACCCACUGCUUCGGCAGUAUCCUGCAGUGAAUUCAUAGCUGCUAGAAGCGAACCCGGUGAACUGAAAUAUCUAAGUAACCGGAGGAAAAGAAAUCAACCGAGAUUCCCUAAGUAGUGACGAGCGAACGGGGAGCAGCCCUUAAGCUGGAAUGGCUUUAGAAAAACAAUCUGGAAAGAUUGGCCAUAGAAGGUGAUAGCCCUGUAUUUAAAAGGGCCACUCCAGUGAAGACGAGUAGGGCGGGGCACGUGAAACCCUGUCUGAAUAUGGGGGACCAUCCUCCAAGGCUAAAUACUCCUGACCGACCGAUAGUGAACCAGUACCGUGAGGGAAAGGCGAAAAGAACCCCGGAGAGGGGAGUGAAAUAGAUCCUGAAACCGUGUGCGUACAAGCAGUAGGAGCUCGCAAGAGUGACUGCGUACCUUUUGUAUAAUGGGUCAGCGACUUACUGUUCGUGGCAAGCUUAACCGUAUAGGGGAGGCGAAGGGAAACCGAGUCUGAUAAGGGCGCAUAGUCGCGGGCAGUAGACCCGAAACCGGGUGAUCUAGUCAUGGCCAGGGUGAAGGUGCCGUAACAGGUACUGGAGGCCCGAACCCACGUCUGUUGCAAAAGACGGGGAUGAGCUGUGAUUAGGAGUGAAAAGCUAAUCGAACCCGGAGAUAGCUGGUUCUCCUCGAAAGCUAUUUAGGUAGCGCCUCAUAUGUAUCCUCUCGGGGGUAGAGCACUGUUAUGGCUAGGGGUCAUCGCGACUUACCAAACCAUUGCAAACUCCGAAUACCGAGACGGACUGUAUGGGAGACACACGGCGGUGUGCUAACGUCCGUCGUGAAAAGGGAAACAACCCAGACCCACAGCUAAGGUCCCAAAUUCACUGCUAAGUGGAAAACGAUGUGGAAAGGCAUAGACAGCCAGGAGGUUGGCUUAGAAGCAGCCACCCUUUAAAGAAAGCGUAAUAGCUCACUGGUCGAGUCGGUCUGCGCGGAAGAUUUAACGGGGCUAAGCAGUGAACCGAAGCUUGGGGUGCAUAAAACUUGUUUUAUGCGCGGUAGAGGAGCGUUCCGUAAGCCUGCGAAGGUGGAUUGAGAAGUCUGCUGGAGGUAUCGGAAGUGCGAAUGCUGACAUGAGUAACGAUAAUGCGGGUGAAAAGCCCGCACGCCGAAAGCCCAAGGUUUCCUUGCGCAACGUUAAUCGACGCAGGGUUAGUCGGUCCCUAAGGCGAGGGCGAAAGCCGUAGUCGAUGGGAAGCAGGUUAAUAUUCCUGCACCUCGCGUGAGUGCGAUGGAGGGACGGAGAAGGUUAGGUGUACCGGGCGUUGGUUGUCCGGGGAAAGGCGGUAGGUUUGGAUCUUUGGCAAAUCCGGGAUCCUUUAAGACCGAGCACCGAGACGAGCCUUUUGGCGAAGUCACUGAUACCACGCUUCCAGGAAAAGCUCCUAAGCUUCAGCUCACGAAGACCGUACCGUAAACCGACACAGGUGGGUAGGAUGAGAAUUCUCAGGCGCUUGAGAGAACUCGGGUGAAGGAACUAGGCAACAUGGCACCGUAACUUCGGGAGAAGGUGCACCCUUUUUGGUGGCUCGUGCGAGCUAUAGCUGAAGAGGGUCGCAGAAACCAGGCCGCUGCGACUGUUUAUCAAAAACACAGCACUCUGCAAACACGAAAGUGGACGUAUAGGGUGUGACGCCUGCCCGGUGCUGGAAGGUUAAUUGAUGGGGUCAGCCGCAAGGCGAAGCUCUUGAUCGAAGCCCCAGUAAACGGCGGCCGUAACUAUAACGGUCCUAAGGUAGCGAAAUUCCUUGUCGGGUAAGUUCCGACCUGCACGAAUGGCGUAACGACAGCGGCGCUGUCUCCACCCGAGACUCAGUGAAAUUGAAAUCGCUGUGAAGAUGCAGCGUUCCCGUGGCAAGACGGAAAGACCCCGUGAACCUUUACUAUAGCUUUACACUGAACGCUGAGUUCGUCUGUGUAGGAUAGGUGGGAGGCUAUGAAACUGUGGCGCUAGCUGCAGUGGAGCCAUCCUUGAAAUACCACCCUGUCGUGCUUGACGUUCUAACCUAGGUCCGUUAUCCGGAUCAGGGACCGUGUAUGGUGGGUAGUUUGACUGGGGCGGUCUCCUCCUAAAGAGUAACGGAGGAGCACGAAGGUACGCUCAGCGCGGUCGGACAUCGCGCACUGUGUGCAAAGGCAUAAGCGUGCUUGACUGCAAGAUCGACGGAUCAAGCAGGUACGAAAGUAGGUCUUAGUGAUCCGGUGGUUCUGUAUGGAAGGGCCAUCGCUCAACGGAUAAAAGGUACUCCGGGGAUAACAGGCUGAUACCGCCCAAGAGUUCAUAUCGACGGCGGUGUUUGGCACCUCGAUGUCGGCUCAUCACAUCCUGGGGCUGUAGUCGGUCCCAAGGGUAUGGCUGUUCGCCAUUUAAAGUGGUACGCGAGCUGGGUUCAGAACGUCGUGAGACAGUUCGGUCCCUAUCUGCCAUGGGCGUUGGAAGUUUGAGAGGGGCUGCUCCUAGUACGAGAGGACCGGAGUGGACGAACCUCUGGUGUUCCGGUUGUCACGCCAGUGGCAUUGCCGGGUAGCUAUGUUCGGAAGCGAUAACCGCUGAAAGCAUCUAAGCGGGAAGCGCGCCUCAAGAUGAGACUUCCCGGGGCACAAGCCCCUAAAGGAACCAUGUAGACUACGUGGUUGAUAGGUCAGGUGUGUAAGUACAGCAAUGUAUUGAGCUAACUGAUACUAAUGAUCCGUGCGGCUUGACCAU
rnacentral:rRNA from 1 species